rnacentral:rRNA from 1 species
UUCCCGUAGGGUGAACCUGCGGAAGGAUCAUUA